UACGAAGGGUGCAAGCGUUACUCGGAAUUACUGGGCGUAAAGCGUGCGUAGGUGGUGAGUUAAGUCUGAUGUGAAAUCCCCGGGCUCAACCUGGGAAUGGCAUUGGAUACUGGCUCGCUAGAGUGCGGUAGAGGGUGGUGGAAUUCACGGUGUAGCAGUGAAAUGCGUAGAGAUCGGGAGGAACAUCUGUGGCGAAGGCGGCCACCUGGACCAACACUGACACUGAGGCACGAAAGCGUGGGGAGCAAACAGG
rnacentral:rRNA from 1 species